CGUCAGACAGGCCUCCGUCCUCCUCGUUAAUGACGAACAGCUUGUCCUUCAGCUCUGCAGGCUGCACCGCAAAACUUUUGAGGAAAAUGUCUGCAAGAACAAGAGAGUCGACAAUGGAGAGAUUGUUGUCCGAGCACCACCCGGCCAGGCGGCUCACUCAGGUCAGCAGGGUGAAGAGAAGGGGACUCAACACACAACCUUGAGGGGCCCCCGUGUUCAGAGUGACGGUGCUGGAUGUGUGGCUGCUGACCCGUACUGCCUGUGGUCUCCCUGUCAGAA